AGCGAACGCUGGCGGCAGGCCUAACACAUGCAAGUCGAGCGAGAUCUUCGGGUCUAGCGGCGGACGGGUGAGUAACGCGUGGGAAUAUGCCUCUUGGUACGGAAUAGCCUCGGGAAACUGGGAGUAAUACCGUAUGUGCCCUUUGGGGGAAAGAUUUAUCGCCAAGAGAUUAGCCCGCGUUGGAUUAGGUAGUUGGUAGGGUAAUGGCCUACCAAGCCGACGAUCCAUAGCUGGUUUGAGAGGAUGAUCAGCCACACUGGGACUGAGACACGGCCCAGACUCCUACGGGAGGCAGCAGUGGGGAAUCUUAGACAAUGGGGGCAACCCUGAUCUAGCCAUGCCGCGUGAGUGAUGAAGGCCUUAGGGUUGUAAAGCUCUUUCAGCUGGGAAGAUAAUGACGGUACCAGCAGAAGAAGCCCCGGCUAACUCCGUG
rnacentral:rRNA from 1 species